GUUGGGGGGGGUUGGUUUUAAAAGCGGCUGGUGGGGGUUGGGGGAGGAAGGAAGGGUUUGGUGGUGGAUGGGCGAAGGGCCGUGGGGUGAAGGGAGCGCGGAGCAGAGCCGUGAGUGUGGGUCUGGGUGUGGGUCUGAGCCCCUCUGUCCACAGCGAAGGCAUUGGGGGGGUGCAGCCAUGGGGGGGGGUGUAGGAAAUGGGGCCAAACCCCCCCCCCCCCCCGACAAAGCGCCCCAAAACACAGCUCUGUAAAUCGCAAUGAGGAAACGGAGAGUUGGGAUGUGGGGGGGGGGGAAAGCAGGGCUGGGGGGGCACUGGGUGCAGCUCCUGGGCUCCCCCCUGGCCGAGUGCAUCCAUCCCAGCCCCACAUCACCCCACAUCCACAGCCCUGGCGCUGCCCCCUCUCUCCCCCCCCCCUUUCCCCCAACCCCCAUCGCUGUGCUCUGACCGCCAGCCCCACUGCUCCAGGUUGUGCUGCGGUGGCGCGUUCUCUUUUCGAGGAAGGAGUUUCCUCUGUCCUUAAUCUAGAACAGUUCCAGCCUUAUUUUUCUACUCCAGAUUGCUGAUUCUUCCUCUAUGUUAGAGACCAGUGCAUGGUGCUAUAGCUGGCGGAUCGGGGGCAGCGAGCAGCUCCGUGCCCCCCCCCCCCCCCCCAGCCCUGCCUGCCCCACGCCUGCCAACAGUGCUCUGCCCAGGGGGGUCCAGGAGAGUCCGUAUGGGUCCUUGUGGGUCUGUGGGUCUGUAUGGGUCCAUGUGAGACCAGGUGGGUCCUUGUGGAUCUGUGUGGGUCCGUAUGGAUCCAUAUGAGUCCACAUGGGUCUUUGUGGGUCCAUGGGCCCAUAUGGGUCCAUAUGAGUCCUUACAGGUCUGUGUGUCUCCAUGGGUCCAUAUGAGUCCAUAUGGGUCUGUGUGGGUCCAUGGUCCUAUUUGGGUCCAUAUGGGUCUGUGUGGGUCCAUGGUCCUAUUUGGGUCCAUAUGGGUCUGUGUGGGUCUGUGUGGCUCCAUGGGUCCAUUUGGGUCCAUAUGGGUCUACAUGAGUCCACAUGGGUCUUUGUGGGUCCAUGGGUCCGUAUGGGUCCAUAUGGGUCUGUGUGACUCUAUGGGUCCAUUUGGGUCCAUAUGAGUCCAUAUGGGUCUUUGUGGCUCCAUGGGCCCAUUUGGGUCCAUAUGGGUCUGUGUGGGUCCAUUUGGGUCCAGGUGAGUCCCCAUGGGCCCAUGUGGGUUCAGGUGAGUCCCUAUGGGUCUGUGGGGUUCCGUAUGGGCCCAUGUGUGUCUGUAGGACCCAUAUAGGUCCCACAGACCUAUAGGUCUGUGCAUCCCUGAGGUUCCAAUCCCUGCUGCACACCCGCUGGUCACCUCCCCACAGAGCCGCUGCCCCAUUGCUGUGCUGGGGGGUGCAUUGGUGACAGCAGUGCUGUGGGGCAGGGCUGGGGCUGCUGGGGGGCUGUCGGUGUCUCCUCACGAGGUGAGAAAACCCCCAAACUCCUUUUAUUUUUUUCCCCCUUGUUUUUAAUCUUUGGGGUUGUUUUUUUGCCCAUCUCUCGGGUGAGCGCUGAUGGAUCUGCAGCCCUUUUUCUUUCUAUCGCCUGGGUCGGAGCGAGGGACCCCAGGGCUGCUUUGCAUUGGGGAAUGCAUUUGCCAAGAAGGAAAACAACAACAAAGUCACACUUUGGGGCCUUUCUCAGUGCUGCCCUCCAUGCAGAGCCGUAAAUAGGGCUGGGGGGGGGGGGGAGGAUGACAAAAAGGGGGGGGUUCCCCCCACGGAGCGCUGAUGAAAUCCUCUUUAAGACUUAAAGAUAACGAAUUUACUCCAUGGGAAGAAUCCCCGUCCAACUCCACGCUCUUUGAUUUCUCUCUGCUCUGUGAUUCUCGUUUGCCAAACUCUGCCGUUGGCGUCCAGCGCCGUCGGUGGAUGGGGAGGGGGGGAAAGGGGGGGGGGGGGGGUUCUCCUGCUGUGUGCCAUAGAGAUCUGCUGCCGUGUGGAGUGUCGUGGAACCGUCGUUCAGAAGUGAAAUUGAUACCACAAUAAAUGCUCACUUUUCAUUUU